rnacentral:rRNA from 1 species
AACGAACGCUGGCGGCACGCCUCAUACAUGCAAGUCGAGUGCGAAACCACCUUCGGGUGAUGUAAAGCGGCGAACGGGUGAGUAACAGGUGGACAACCUACCUUUUGGCGGGGGACAACAGUUGGAAACGGCUGCUAAUACCGCAUGUGAUUGAAGGCUCCUCGGGGCUUUCAAGGAAAGGCGCUUCGGCGUCGCCAAAAGAUGGUCCGCCCCCCAUUAGCUAGUUGGUGUGAUAAUAGCGCACCAAGGCAACGAUGGGUAGCCGAGCUGAGAGGUUGAUCGGCCACACUGGAACUGAGACACGGUCCAGACACCUACGGGUGGCAGCAGUAGGGAAUAUUGCGCAAUGGGCGAAAGCCUGACGCAGCCAUGCCGCGUGAGUGAAGAAGGUUUUCGGAUUGUAAAACUCUUUUCUUAGGGAAGAAACGUACAGGGAGGUAAUGCCCUGUGCCUGACGGUACCUAAGGAAUAAGGGACGGCUAACUCCGUGCCAGCAGCCGCGGUAAUACGGAGGUCCCAAGCGUUGUUCGGAUUUACUGGGCGUAAAGGGAGCGCAGGCGGAUAGAUUAGUCUAAAGUGGAAGCCCGAGGCUCAACCUCGGAAGGCCUUUAGAUACUGUCUAUCUUGAGUAUGUGAUGGGAAUGCGGAAUUCAGGGUGUAGCGGUGAAAUGCUUAGAUAUCCUGAGGAACACCAAUGGCGAAAGCAGCAUUCUGGCACACUACUGACGCUGAGGCUCGAAAGCGUGGGGAGCGAACGGGAUUAGAUACCCCGGUAGUCCACGCCGUAAACGUUGUAUACUAGGUGUAGGAGGUAUCGACCCCUUCUGUGCCGCAGCUAACGCAUUAAGUAUACCGCCUGGGGAGUACGCACGCAAGUGUGAAACUCAAAGGAAUUGACGGGGGCCCGCACAAUCGGUGGAGCAUGUGGUUUAAUUCGAGGCAACGCGAAGAACCUUACCCAGACUUGACAUCCUGCGCAACCUAUAGAAAGGGAGGAGUGCCCUUCGGGGGGCAAUCUACGAGGUGCUGCAUGGUUGUCGUCAGCUCGUGCCGUGAGGUGUCGGGUUAAGUCCCAUAACGAGCGCAACCCCUAUCUUUAGUUGCCAUCAGGUAAUGCUGGGGACUCUAAAGAAACUGCCUACGCAAGUAGUGAGGAAGGUGGGGAUGACGUCAAAUCAGCACGGCCCUUACGUCCAGGGCUACACACGUGCUACAAUGGUCGAUACAGAGGGCAGCUACCUGGUGACAGGAUGCAAAUCUCGAAAAUCGAUCUCAGUUCGGAUCGAAGUCUGCAACUCGACUUCGUGAAGUUGGAUUCGCUAGUAAUCGCAUAUCAGCCAUGAUGCGGUGAAUACGUUCCCGGGCCUUGUACACACCGCCCGUCAAGCCAUGGAAGCUGGGAGUACCUAAAGUUCGUCACCGCAAGGAGCGACCUAGGGUAAAACUAGUAACUAGGGCU